ACGGAAGGCAGCAGUGGGGAAUAUUGCACAAUGGGGGGAACCCUGAUGCAGCAACGCCGCGUGAAGGAAGACGGUCUUCGGAUUGUAAACUUCUGUUCUUAGUGAAGAUAAUGACGGUAGCUAAGGAGCAAGCCACGGCUAACUACGUGCCAGCAGCCGCGGUAAUACGUAGGUGGCAAGCGUUGUCCGGAAUUACUGGGUGUAAAGGGUGCGCAGGCGGGAAAUCAAGUUGGAUGUGAAAUGUCGGGGCUUAACCCCGGAACUGCAUCCAAAACUGAUUUUCUUGAGUGAAGUAGAGGUAGGCGGAAUUCCGAGUGUAGCGGCGAAAUGCGUAGAUAUUCGGAGGAACACCAGUGGCGAAGGCGGCCUACUGGGCUUUAACUGACGCUGAGGCUCGAAAGUGUGGGGAGCAAACAGGAUUAGAUACCCUGGUA
rnacentral:rRNA from 1 species